rnacentral:tRNA from 1 species
CGGUCCAUAGCUCAGUUGGCAGAGCUGCCGACUCUUAAUCGGCAUGUCGCAGGUUCGAUCCCUGCUGGACCGA